rnacentral:pre_miRNA from 1 species
AAAUUACUCCCUCCAUCCGGAAAUACUUGUUGGAGAAAUGAAUGUAUUUAGAUGUAUUUUAGUUUUAGAUACAUCUAUUUUUAUUUAUUUUCACGACAAGUAAUUCCGGACGGAGGGAGUACAAG